UGUGUGGCUCCAUAAAUCAAACGCAGUCUGCCUCCAAUUUUCCCAUUACCCUCCUCUCUGAUGAAACUGCUGGUGACUAACAGGCAAUUCAGAGAAGUCGGGCAGGCUGAAGUAUCUUUGAUCAGGUUCAGUUAUCAAUGGUAGAGACACACUGUAACUCAUUCAUCUGGAUGAAUAUUUGUUUGAACAUUAUUGUGUUGGUCAUUCUUCAGAGCAGACUUCAACUACAGAAAUGGUCUUCCUCCCUGGAAUCUUCCUUGUUACCUCUCCUUCUUCCAACACACUUUCUGUUCUCCCCAAAUACCUGUUUAAACAAGAUUAAAUCUGUUGUGGGAUAUUUGAUCCCCAAGAUUAUGAACUGUAAAAACCUGUUUCUUGUUUGGUUUGGCUCAGCCAUAACACACACCUUUAACCCAAGAGCUUUCUGUUUACUGUAAACAAGUACUUAUGGUGCAGCUCAGCCUUAGCACACACCUUUAACCCAAGAGUUUAAAGUUGAUCCCAAAUCAACAGGCAUUGCAAGCAACCAGGUGACAGGGAUUAAACAGAAAGGAGAGACAUUGAGGGAAGAGUAUUUAAGACAGUGUGGAGAAGAAGAAAGGGUUUUGGCUUUUUCUUUCUGGGAUGUCACCUAAGUAGGCAAGUCAGCUGGGUGCCUUCUCUGAUCUAGCAAGUUUUCGACCUGGCAGCUAGCUCCUGAGUCUUUAUUAGUAAAAUCGAAGUUUGGGAUUUUCUUCCUUAAAAAAACAAAAAACCAAAAACAAACAAACAAAAAACCCACAUAAAUCUUUCUGUCUAUAAAAUAGAACUGAAAGUGUUGUAGGUGGCCUUCGCUGCCAUCUUGCCAGGUAUUUAUCUUAAAGUCAAACACGUUAGUGCUGUCAAACACCAAGAGAAGAUACCUUCCUGUGAUCAUACAGCCUACAGCAACGAUGCUAACAACAGGAUAACUUCAGUGACCAACACGCAGGAAGCCUGUAAAAACUGCUUUUUAGUUAACACACACAUUUUUUACUCACCGUGUUGACAGCCUCUCUCUCCCUAUGACUAUUGAUUCCUCUACCUCUCCUUUUUUGUUUCACUUCUCUCACUGUUCCUUCUGGGACUCCCCUCUUCAUCCUUCUUUUUUCUCCCACAGGACUGUAGUCUGCGGCCCUUUUUCUUCUUUCUAUAUCCAUGUUCUUGGAGAUCUAAUCUAGCCUAAUUUCAAAAACCUCUUGGACACUGAAGACAUGGUCAUUUGUACCUAUAGCAAUGCCAUGUCCUUAAGCCUCGGAUGUGAAUACCCAACUGGGCAAUCUUCAUUAAGAAACACCUCAAAUCCAGCGGAGACAGCAGCCAACUGUCUACUCUUACCCAAGCUCCCAACUGCUCCUCUUUCCAGCUGUACUCAUUUUUUAUUGCCAGGUAUCUCAUUAAAUAGGAUCAUCAUCCAUAGAACUAAUAAAACAUUAAACCUGGAUGACCUCUUUAAGGUCUCUGGCUGUCCUAGUUAAAAUUGUAAUUCUUCCCUUCUCUAUAUUCCACCUUUGAUCUAAUUUUUAGUCUCCACCUUGGCCUACUUUAUUUUUUUAGGAAGCAGAUACAUAUGACC